rnacentral:lncRNA from 10 species
UCUGGUUAUUCCCCAGACAGCUCGUUUUUCUUCCUGUGGCUUCUCAGCCUUUCAGCUCAUUCUGCAUUUGAACAAUCCCUUCCCCAAGACCACCGGGCAGGCCUCUGCUGCGGGCCCCGAGCCCCUACCAAGGCCUGUGUGUGUUACCAGCUUCGUGGCUGGGUCCCGGCAUCUGGAGGACAGAGGCCAUGGGGCUCCCGUGGAGACCUCAUCACGCACAGAGCAGCCCUGGGCUGGGCCGCAUGGAAGGCGAAGGCUCGAGUCCAGAACGGGCAAGAGUGUGCUGGUGCACAUCUUGAAGGCAGAUUUUGAAUCUGAAAUCUUUUCCUGCGGUGAUGUAAACCCCCACCCUCACCAUCCGUCCCUCGCCCCUGGCCAAGUGUUUGUGACUGUCAUUUGGGCUCCUUGUACCAAGCCCAGUCUUGUGGAGAUGACCCAGAGUAAUGUUUAAUGAGGUCACGGGCAGGCCGCUUGUGUUUGUAAACACGUGCACAUUCCAGGCUUACAGGGCUCUGAAUUUGCUUCUGUGUUUGGAUUCCAUACUUUUGCUCCACAUUUGUCACCCAGGUCUCUCCCUCCUGGGAUAGAGAGAAGCCGUUCUCUGCCGGGUGUUUUGGCCCCUAAGUGAAGCGUGUGACCUGUGUGGAUGCCCCAUCUACCCCUGAAAGCCAAACUCCAUGUCUUCCUGAUGGCCCAGCCGUUGUCUGUGGCUUGGCUCCUGUGGGGAAGUCACACAGAGGUGACCUGGCCCAUGGGUCUGUCCCAUGCAGGCACAGAGGCAGCCGCAAUGGGACCAGGCACCCAGCCCUCCUGCCCAGUGUUUACAUCAGAAGGAAACAGCGUGCUCACGUGUCUACCCGCACACGCUUCGCCUCCUUCUCCGUGCAGCACCGCCCUGCUGAGCAGCUGUACUGUGGACUCUUCUGCCUGCAGGUCCCCAUGGCUCUAUUUGCAGACCCACCUCAGGGGCCUGACACAGACUAAGCAGCACAGAUUCAUAUUUCAGUAAAGGGUGACAUCCAGGAAAAGCUGGAGCCCUGCCGGACCUCUGGAUUGCUCCUGGGUCACCCCAAAGCUGUGGUGGACUUGGGUGGCUGCAAAGAUCUUGGUCCCCCUGGCAUGGCUCCAGUUCUCGGUUACCCUGACGUCCCCUGAGAUCCAGACCUGGAGCCAACCCUCCCCCAACCCCCACCCACGUGCCAGCCGGGUCUCAGUUUUGCCACAGAUGAGGAGCAAAGCCUCCCAGGUUUCUGCCCACAUAGGAGGGAUGGCCGACUCCUAGUAGCAGGACACACUUACCAAGCUAGACUAUUUCUUUCCACACCUACAGGGAAGGCUAAAAAGCAUCCUGGAGGUUUCCGGGAAUGAGAUUCAAAGGGCGGAGGCCUCAGCAGCAGGCGUGGACACGCAACCCCAGCCCCGUGCCCUCCGCGUCCUUGCAUGCAUUUCACACGAUACUUCAGAUUUUUUUUUCAUUUAGAUGUUAACGCUUUUAUAAAAAGUACUUUUCAUAAAAAUCCUGAUUCCUGGCUAAUUUUCUAGACAGUUGGAGGAUUUGGCUUCCAGAGCCCACAUUGCUGCAAUGCCCCAUGGCUGGCUUAGGGCAGCAGCUGUCCCUUAACUGGGCACGUCCUCUGUGUGGCCGACACUCCCGCCCCCGUCUCAACACCCAGGUGUGUGUCCUGCCGGCCCCGUAGCCUGGAACAACACCCUGUGUCCUGUGCCCUGGGCCGUCAGCACUAGGCAGCUCCUCUCGGUGAGGGCUGAGGGCAUUGGGGCCCAGCAUAGGCCCCAGCUCAGGGGAGAGCCAGGGAUCCCGAGCAGGAGGGCUUGCACCCGUUGAAUGAAAUGGGCUAUGCCCUUUAGCCACUUGUUCUGCAUUGUUGGAAGCUGAUUCAAAGACCCUUUUAUUGUUCUAAAAACAGCAAUGAUAUUCUUUGUUCUUUGAAGAUAAUGUGCUGGAUGUUCUCCCAUUACAUUUCUCAUAAUGAAUGUCGUCCUGGGGCUCGCAGGACCAUUUGGACUUAAUGGAGAAAAAGCAGCAGACAAAGCUGUAGCAAUUCCUUGCUGCAUCCACCCUCCCAGCAAAACGGGAUUAGAACCUGGGGAAUAUGCGUUCCGAUGACCAGACUUACACCUGAAUUGCCAGGUGACCUUGGGCUGAUUGUGUGGGAUAUUUGGGGCUGUUUUGUCCACUGAGGAAUCACAAUAAUGUGCCUUCCCCUCUGGGUGCCAUGCGGGUUGGCUGUUGAAUGGGUUGGAAAGUGAUUUGAACACAUCGAGGGCAACAUAAAUGCUAAGUGUGAUUUCUAAAAUGCACAGCAGCUUGAAGAAGUAGACAUAUGUGGGUGACUGUAUAAACUCUGAGGACUCAGUCACAUUAAACAUAUGGAUACACCUGUUCUCUUCAGAAAGUGAUGGGGAUGGGGCAGGUGUGGAACUCGUGGGGCAGUGGUGUUCUCUAGAGGUGGGGUGUGGCUGGCAGUGCGCACG